AGUCGAACGGCAGCACGGACUUCGGUCUGGUGGCGAGUGGCGAACGGGUGAGUAAUGUAUCGGAACGUGCCUGGUAGUGGGGGAUAACGAGUCGAAAGAUUCGCUAAUACCGCAUACGACCUGAGGGUGAAAGCAGGGGAUCUUCGGACCUUGUGCUAUCAGAGCGGCCGAUAUCUGAUUAGCUAGUUGGUGGGGUAAAGGCCCACCAAGGCGACGAUCAGUAGCUGGUUUGAGAGAACGACCAGCCACACUGGAACUGAGACACGGUCCAGACUCCUACGGGAGGCAGCAGUGGGGAAUUUUGGACAAUGGGGGCAACCCUGAUCCAGCGAUGCCGCGUGAGUGAAGAAGGCCCUCGGGUUGUAAAGCUCUUUUGUCAGGGAAGAAAAGGUUGUGGCUAAUAUCCACAGCUGAUGACGGUACCUGAAGAAUAAGCACCGGCUAACUACGUGCCAGCAGCCGCGGUAAUACGUAGGGUGCAAGCGUUAAUCGGAAUUACUGGGCGUAAAGCGUGCGCAGGCGGUUGAUUAAGUUUGAUGUGAAAUCCCCGGGCUUAACCUGGGAACUGCAUUGAAUACUGGUCAGCUAGAGUGUGUCAGAGGGGGGUAGAAUUCCACGUGUAGCAGUGAAAUGCGUAGAGAUGUGGAGGAAUACCGAUGGCGAAGGCAGCCCCCUGG
rnacentral:rRNA from 1 species